rnacentral:tRNA from 1 species
GGCAGCGUGAUUUAGUGGAAAGAAUACAGGCUUUAUACUCAAGAUUCAAUGGGUUCAAAUCCCAGCUCUGCCA